rnacentral:snRNA from 1 species
UGAUGUGAGGGUGGUCUGGCUGUGACAUCUGUCAUCCCAUUGACGGCCAGGGUUGAUCUGGCUGAUCUGACUGGCUAGGCGAGUAUUGCACUCCUCCCUCACCAGUCCAUGUGUGUCCCUGCUGAAGUGUGAAGCUGUGAGCUCAGUGGAAGAGGGUGACCACCCCUGAUAGAGGAGGACCAUUUCUUCAGUCAAGGGUAUAGCGUAGAUGUGCUCCCCUGGUAGAACUUCAAACAAGUUUUCAAAGAAGAACAUGAGACCAUCAGUGUGUACAUAAGAUUCAAAGUGUAAUAGGGAAUGACAAAUU